CCUGAAGGCGCAGAUAAAUACGAACCGGACACGGAUGUUCCUCCUUUCGGGCUCGACGACGAGAGGAGAAGGACGGAGUGUCGAGCUCCUCCAUUUUCAAUCGCGGCAUAGCGAUGACUUUUCGGCGGUUUGUCGACUCGAUGACCAGUGUUUCGUUACGAAGCACUGUUGAAGAAUGUCGUCUUCAAAACUGGGCGUCAAACCGGCUAAGGAUGGGACAAAACACAUGAUGGGACAACCUUCCCUUGGUUUACCCUUUGCAAGAUAAGCAACAAGGCACAACAUGAGCAUCUGCUUCGUCCUGUAUCUGAUGCUUGGCAGCAGUAAUGGAUGGAAAACGUGAACAAUUACUUCAUGUCUUUGAUAAGCAACCAGGCACAACAUGAGCAUCUGCUUCGUCCUGUAUCUGAUGCUUGGCAGCACUAAUGGAUGGAAAACGUGAACAAUUACUUCAUGUCUUUGAUGGGCAGCAAUAAUCAACCAACGGACAAAAAUGUCUACUUCAUCAUAAUUAUAGAUGAGGAAAGAGGGCGUCACAGUUUCCCAAUUAGAAAUGCCAAGUGUCAUGUCAAGUAGUGAUGAGUUCACCUUUUUGCUGUGAACCAAUCAGAACAGACUGCUGAACUCAAAACACCAGUAUAAUGCAAACUGAUGGUCACCUUUGACUUUGAAGAAACUCAUUUAAGCAUACAGUUGGACCUGUAUAAAGCUGCUAUUUGGACUGCUUUCCAGACAAAUAAAACAUUUACAAAAUCUA